GUUUGAUCCUGGCUCAGGAUGAACGCUGGCGGUAUGCUUAACACAUGCAAGUCGAACGAAAUCUUCGGAUUUAGUGGCGGACGGGUGAGUAACGCGUGAGAAUCUGGCUUCAGGUCUGGGACAACCACUGGAAACGGUGGCUAAUACCGGAUGUGCCGAGAGGUGAAAGGUUAACUGCCUGAAGAUGAGCUCGCGUCUGAUUAGCUAGUUGGAAGUGUAAAGGACUCCCAAGGCGACGAUCAGUAGCUGGUCUGAGAGGACGAUCAGCCACACUGGGACUGAGACACGGCCCAGACUCCUACGGGAGGCAGCAGUGGGGAAUUUUCCGCAAUGGGCGAAAGCCUGACGGAGCAAUACCGCGUGAGGGAGGAAGGCUCUUGGGUCGUAAACCUCUUUUCUCAGGGAAGAACACAAUGACGGUACCUGAGGAAUAAGCAUCGGCUAACUCCGUGCCAGCAGCCGCGGUAAUACGGAGGAUGCAAGCGUUAUCCGGAAUGAUUGGGCGUAAAGCGUCCGCAGGUGGCGAUGUAAGUCUGCUGUUAAAGAGUCUAGCUCAACUAGAUAAGAGCAGUGGAAACUACAUAGCUAGAGUACGUUCGGGGCAGAGGGAAUUCCUGGUGUAGCGGUGAAAUGCGUAGAGAUCAGGAAGAACACCAGUGGCGAAGGCGCUCUGCUAGGCCGUAACUGACACUGAGGGACGAAAGCUAGGGGAGCGAAUGGGAUUAGAUACCCCAGUAGUCC
rnacentral:rRNA from 1 species